AGGUGAUUGAUGCCCGGUGAGAAGGUGAAAGUGACCUUUACCCCUGUCAGCUGCAGGAAAGGAACCAAGAGACAGGUGAUUGAUGCCCGGUGAGAGGGUGAAAGGGACCUAUACCCCCGUCAGCUGCAGUAAAGGAACAAAGAGACAGGUCAUUAAUGCCCGGUGAGAGGGUGAAAGGGACCUAUACCCCCGUCAGCUGCAGGAAAGGAACAAAGAGACAGGUCAUUAAUGCCCGGUGAGAGGGUGAAAGGGACCUAUACCCCCGUCAGCUGCAGGAAAGGAACAAAGAGACAGGUAAUUAAUAUUUAUAUUAAUUACUGAUAACAAUCAGGCUAGAUAUAACAUCUAGACCUGCAGAGAUAUCAUAGUCUCUACCUUAUACAUGAAGAUAUAUGUGUUUUUAAUAAGUAUAUCGUCUAUAGACAGCUUCUUAUAUAACACAACUGUGUCUCAGGUACAGAG